rnacentral:rRNA from 1 species
ACCAAGGAGUCUAGCAUGUGCGCGAGUCAUUGGGACCGCACUAAACCUAAAGGCGAAAUGAAAGUGAACGUCCGCCUCGCGCGGACAUAGGGAGGAUGGGCGAGCCUUCGGGCCGCCCCGCACUCCCGGGGCGUCUCGUUCUCAUCGCGAGAGGAGGCGCACCCAGAGCGUACACGCUGGGACCCGAAAGAUGGUGAACUAUGCCUGGUCAGGACGAAGUCAGGGGAAACCCUGAUGGAGGUCCGUAGCGAUUCUGACGUGCAAAUCGAUCGUCGGAACUGGGUAUAGGGGCGAAAGACUAAUCGAACCAUCUAGUAGCUGGUUCCCUCCGAAGUUUCCCUCAGGAUAGCUGGCGCUCGCCGCGUGCGAGUCUCAUCCGGUAAAGCGAAUGAUUAGAGGCAUUGGGGUCGAAACGGCCUCAACCUAUUCUCAAACUUUAAAUGGGUGAGAUCUCCGGCUUGCUCGAACACGUGAAGCCGCGAGAUAUCGGAUCAGAGUGCCAAGUGGGCCACUUUUGGUAAGCAGAACUGGCGCUGUGGGAUGAACCAAACGCAGAGUUAAAGCGCCCAAAUCGACGCUUAUGGGAUACCAUGAAAGGCGUUGGUAACUUAAGACAGCAGG